UAAUACCGGAUAGAUCAAAGAUACUGGAAUGUUCCUUGAUCCAAAGCUCCGGCGUCCAAGGAUGGAUCUGCGGCCUAUCAGGUAGUAGUGGGUGUAACGUACCUACUAGCCUACGACGGGUACGGGUUGUGAGAGCAAGAGCCCGGAGAUGGAUUCUGAGACAUGAAUCCAGGCCCUACGGGGCGCAGCAGGCGCGAAAUCUUUACAAUGCAGGAAACUGCGAUAAGGGGACCCCGAGUGCCAGCAUCUAAUGCUGGCUGUCCAGCUGUGUAAAUAGCAGUUGUUAGCAAGGGCCGGGCAAGACCGGUGCCAGCCGCCGCGGUAACACCGGCGGCCCGAGUGGUAGCCGCUAUUAUUGGGUUUAAAGGGUCCGUAGCCGGCCUAUUAAGUCUCUUAGGAAAUCUGGCGGCUUAAUCGUCAGGCGUCC
rnacentral:rRNA from 1 species